rnacentral:rRNA from 1 species
GCCAUGCAGGUCUAAGUACACACGAAUUAACAGUGAAACCGCCAAAGGCUUAUUAUAUUUGUUAUGGUUCCUUAGAUAGUUAGCAGUUACUUGGAUAACUGUGGUAAUUCUAGAGCUAAUACAUGCAUUUAUAAUUUAUUGGGACGUGUGCUUUUAUUACGCUAUAAUCAAGGGUUGUUAAUUGGUUGAACUCUAAAUAACGUGCAGAUCGUAUGGUCUUGUACCGAUGACAGAUCUUUCAAAUGUCUGCCCUAUCAACUUUUGAUGGUAGUAUCGAGGGCUACCAUGGUUGCAACGGGUGACGGGGAAUCAGGGUUCGAUUCCGGAGAGGGAGCCUGAGAAACGGCUGCCACAUCUAAGGAAGGCAGCAGGCGCGUAAAUUACCCACUCCCAGCUCGGGGAGGUAGUGACGAAAAAUAACAAUACAGGACUCAUAUUCGAGGCUCUGUAAUUGGAAUGAGUACACUUUAAAUCCUUUAACGAGGACCUAUUGGAGGGCAAGUCUGGUGCCAGCAGCCGCGUUUAGUCUGUUCUAUACCUAAUGUAUGUAAGCGUAUUACCGGUGGAUAUAAACUUGCUUCAAUGCUCUUCAUCGGGUGUUGUUGUGGGCCGGUACAAUUACUUUGAACAAAUUAGAGUGCUUAAAGCAGGCUCCAAAUGCCUGAAUAUUUUGUGCAUGGGAUAAUGAAAUAAGACCUCUGUUCUACUUUCAUUGGUUUUUAGAUCAAGAGGUAAUGAUUAAUAGAAGCAGUUUGGGGGCAUUAGUAUUACGACGCGAGAGGUGAAAUUCUUGGACCGUCGUAAGACUAACUUAAGCGAAAGCAUUUGCCAAAGAUGUUUUCAUUAAUCAAGAACGAAAGUUAAGGUUCGAAGGCGAUCAGAUACCGCCCUAGUUCUAACCAUAAACGAUGCCAGCUAGCAAUUGGGUGUAGCUAAUAUUAUGGCUCUCUCAGUCGCUUCCCGGGAAACCAAAGCUUUUGGGCUCCGGGGGAAGUAUGGUUGCAAAGCUGAAACUUAAAGGAAUUGACGGAAGGGCACCACCAGGAGUGGAGCCUGCGGCUUAAUUUGACUCAACACGGGAAAACUUACCAGGUCCGAACAUAAGCGUGUAAGACAGAUUGAUAGCUCUUUCUCGAAUCUAUGGGUGGUGGUGCAUGGCCGUUCUUAGUUCGUGGAGUGAUUUGUCUGGUUAAUUCCGAUAACGAACGAGACUCAAAUAUAUUAAAUAGAUGCUUUCAGGAUUAUGGUGACGAAGCUUUUAUGGCCUUCAUUCGCGAAUACGUAUGUGUUUAUAAAAGUGGAGCCGUACCUGUUGGUUUGUCUCAUUAUAAGACACUAGCUUCUUAAAUGGACAAAUUGCGUCUAGCAAUAAUGAGAUUGAGCAAUAACAGGUCUGUGAUGCCCUUAGAUGUCCUGGGCUGCACGCGCGCUACAAUGAAAGUAUCAACGUGUAUUUCCUAGACCGAGAGGUCCGGGUAAACCGCUGAACCACUUUCAUGCUUGGGAUUGUGAAUUGGAACUGUUCACAUGAACUUGGAAUUCCCAGUAAGUGUGAGUCAUUAACUCGCAUUGAUUACGUCCCUGCCCUUUGUACACACCGCCCGUCGCUACUACCGAUUGAAUUAUUUAGUGAGGUCUCCGGACGUGAUCACUGCAACGCAUUCUUGUGUUGCGGAUGUUUCGCAGAAA